UGCCUGUGACGUUCAAACAUUUUUCCGUACCAUCUGAGAUUUCUUUCUCUGAUGUAUUCUCUCGAAGAUUUGAUUCUGAGGCAU